GUCCGCCAUAUUGGAAUGGUCCAAGCAGGUUCGUGAAAACAUGAGUGCAAGUGGUCUGUGAUCUGCAACCCCAGUUAAACGCAUAUAUGGAUGUCUAUGUAUGCAGUAGACUUCAGCAGAUGAUUUUGCUAAACUAACACAAAACAACAAGAUGAAGCCAUUAGCUAACACGACAUUGUUACACUCCAUUGACUCCAUAAUCACUUUAUGGACACCAAACGCUGAGACUUUUUUUGCAGAGGAAAGAAACUUUGGAGCAACAUCACGGAUGUCCAUCUUGUUUAGGAAGAGGAUGAUGGAGGAACUUGCGAACCAUGGCGAGUGGAUGGUGGUGUAGAAGAGUGACAGGCUCUCUUUCAUGCGGUUCUGGAGCCGGAGAGAGCAAGCAUUCACAGCAGAAGUUAAUUAAAUGAGAGAGACACUAGGUGCAAGAGAGAUUACGCAAUUUGUCAGUGCAGCGUUUCGGUGCAGGUUCACACAAACGUUGAAAUAACGGAGCGUGAAUCUGUCAAGAAAUGUCUGUGUCAUGUUUUAUCUUAAUGACAAAAAAUACAUAUUUUUGCAUAAAUAAAAUUAAGCAUAUUUUAAGACAA